GAGUUUGAUCAUGGCUCAGAUUGAACGCUGGCGGCAUGCCUUACACAUGCAAGUCGAACGGCAGCACGGGAGCUUGCUCCUGGUGGCGAGUGGCGAACGGGUGAGUAAAGCAUCGGAACGUACCUUGUCGAGGGGGAUAACGCAGCGAAAGUUGUGCUAAUACCGCAUACGUCCUGAGGGAGAAAGCGGGGGACCGCAAGGCCUCGCGCGAUGAGAGCGGCCGAUGUCAGAUUAGCUAGUUGGUGAGGUAAAGGCUCACCAAGGCGACGAUCUGUAGCGGGUCUGAGAGGAUGAUCCGCCACACUGGGACUGAGACACGGCCCAGACUCCUACGGGAGGCAGCAGUGGGGAAUUUUGGACAAUGGGGGAAACCCUGAUCCAGCCAUGCCGCGUGAGUGAAGAAGGCCUUCGGGUUGUAAAGCUCUUUCGGCCGGGAAAAAAUUGCACGGAUGAACAGUCUGUGUAGAUGAUGGUACCGGACUAAGAAGCACCGGCUAACUACGUGCCAGCAGCCGCGGUAAUACGUAGGGUGCGAGCGUUAAUCGGAAUUACUGGG
rnacentral:rRNA from 1 species